rnacentral:rRNA from 1 species
GUGGCAGCCGCCGCGGUAAUACGUAGGGUGCAAGCGUUAAUCGGAAUUACUGGGCGUAAAGCGUGCGCAGGCGGUUAUGUAAGACAGAUGUGAAAUCCCCGGGCUCAACCUGGGAACUGCAUUUGUGACUGCAUAGCUAGAGUACGGCAGAGGGGGAUGGAAUUCCGCGUGUAGCAGUGAAAUGCGUAGAUAUGCGGAGGAACACCGAUGGCGAAGGCAAUCCCCUGGGCCUGUACUGACGCUCAUGCACGAAAGCGUGGGGAGCAAACAGGAUUAGAUACCCCGGUAGUC